rnacentral:misc_RNA from 3 species
AACGCACCUUGCGCCUUUUGGUAUUCCGAAAGGCAUGCCUGUUUGAGUGUCAUGAAAUAUCAACCCCUCCUGGUUUCUGAUCAGUGUUGGGCUUGGACUUGGGUGUCUGCCAGCUCGCUGGCUCGCCUUAAAAGAGUUAGUGGUAAUAACAUCCACGGCUAAGACGUAAUAAGUUUCGUCUGGUCAAGGUGUGACGACUGCUCAUAACCCGACCGCAAGGUCAUUAUUUUAUGCUCUGACCUCAAAUCAGGUAGGACUACCCGCUGAACUUAA